GCUAAUAGGGACUCCGGUCGGCUCUCUAUUGUCUGGGCGGGCCCGGGAGCUAACGUGAGCCCCGGUGGGCCCGCAGACGUCCUCCUCCUGCAAAGUUUGCUGAACGCUCAGCGAGCCUGGCGGGGAGGGCGAGCUCAGGGGUCCUCGGUUACAAGUCCCAGAGAGCAGGGCAGCCCAAGAGUGCGCGGUUUGAAUGAACGCUGCUCCGGGAGCUUCCGCCGGCCCAAGUGCUUUCUCCGGGUUUUCCACUCCCCGAUGCGUCGCUGAUGGAGACUCCAUUCAUUUAUUCACAAGAGACCUGGAGAGAGGCAGAGACACAGGUAGAGGGAGAAGCAGGCUCCAUGCAGGGAGCCCGACGUGGGACCCCAGGAUCGUGCCCUGGGCCGAAGGCCCUCAUGAAUGAACUUCAGAGUGUAGAAGAAGUUUUUCCUCCCUUAUACCAUGUACCUUACAACAUGGAUGGACAACCCUGAGGGGUGCUCCGCAUUUUGCCACUGUGCCUCCUCACAGCUUGAUUCAAUGCCUCGGUAUUGUAAGAAUUGGCCAAAG